CGCGCUCUAGCUUUCCAAGGAAACCAGCAGCCGAGCAGCGGGACUCGGGGACUCGUCAAGAAGGGGUUUAGAAGGUUUUGGAUUGGGAGUUGGGGAUGGUGUGGCGGCGGCGGUGGUGGUUGGUGAGCUGGCGUCGCGGCCGAAGCAGGGGUUUGUGUAGCGGCGGCUGGCGGAUCAGCAGCGGCUCGUGGGAAGAGAUGGUUCCUUUGGGAAGCAGCGAAGCAAGGGUAGGGGGCGCGUGGGUCGCGGACGAAGGAGGUCUCCUUUCGGCGGCUGGCGGGAGGUAGGGGUGGUGUUGUUGCUGGAGGAGGUGUCCAAAGGAGGCGGCUCGUCCGGAGGAGGAGGAGUUCGAAAGAGGGGGCUCGUCCCGGAGGAGGAGGUGCUCGUAGGAAGGGACUCGUGAUUCAACCCAGCGGAGGACAAAGGGAGUGGGCUCGUCGCCCGGAAGGACAUGCCGGGGAGAGAGCUCUUCGAGGUGGAGGAGAUGUAGGAGGGGGUCCACGUCGCGGCGGAGGAACGAGUGCCUCUCGUGAACCGGCAUACGGACAACAAACAGGAGAGGUGGUUCGUCGCAGCUGAUGAGGUAUGUUCGUGUAUUCGAAUACGAGAAGACUAAUAUAUAAAUGGUUACUGAUAAUACCAACUAUCGAAUUUUCAGAAACGAAGAUAUAUACGUCGACUCUCACUGAAUAUUCAAGUACCGUUUUGGUCGUUGUGCUCAUGCGUUGGUGUUCGUUCGACUCCUCAAUGGAGACUCAACUAUGUAAAAUGACAGAGCUCUAAGAAAACCGUAGGGACUUGUCAAAGGCGACUAGGUUUAAUAGUAGGGAGUACAAUACCCGGAGUUUCUCGUCGACUUUCUGAUUAAAUUCCACGUUCACCUAUUCAGAUCGUUUACGUCAUUACACUGGUGUUCGUUCAACUCCUCCAUUAUACGUAGAAGUUGAAACUAAAAAACGACAUGUCAGGAGACCAAAAAGUUUAAACAAAACACCUAAGAAAGAAAACAAGAUCCAACUGAAAGUAUAGUCUAGACUUUCAAAUGACUAUUUUAAUCACGUUAGAUAAAGAACCUACUCGAACCUGAUAUGUCAAAUCACUUCGUUCGUUGUUACAAUGUGUAAGAACAAAACAGUAUAAACGGGUACCUUCUAAAACAUACACUUCGCGUUUAUUAAAGACGAACUAGAUUAAUACAUGCAUUAUUAGUGAUGAACAACACUACUACUUCACGUAUUGUAAGUCUUCUCAAUAUACGACUGCAAUUUGACGUCGUGUAGUUUUAGAAAUUAUACAACUAAAUUUUAAACUUUGCUAUCGUGGUAAAAGACUCAAAGGCUAAACAACGUCCAAAGAGUUCUAUGUGUUCAACUACCUCCAAACCUUCUAGAUGUUCAACGAGACCUCCAAAACUUCCAGACUGUUCAACGACCUCACUACUAUAUAUACAUUAUACAGAACAAACAACUUGGAGGUCUAUAACUGUUCAAAAUGUGACGAGUAAAACCACCAACAAAGUCGUCUGUUCGGUAACAUACGGUUAAAACCAACGCACCGUACUAAAGAAAUGGAAUUUGUAUACAUGAAACGUAAAACUCCGUAUAUUACAGAUAUAUACAUGCCAAGUACGUACACAAUUUUUGUAUACAAAAAGCAGAUAAAUACAAUAACGUACUCCAGAAUGUACAUUAGACUAACUUGCAUACACAUUCAACACACUAGACAG
rnacentral:rRNA from 1 species